rnacentral:rRNA from 1 species
CAUGCAAGUCUACGAGAAUGAGGUAGCAAUAUCUUUAGUAAAGUGGCGCACGGGUGAGUAACGCGUAAGCAAUCUACCUUUGGGUUCGGAAUAACGUCGAGAAAUCGUCGCUAAUACCGGAUAAUGCAGCGGCAUCGCAUGAUGAUGUUGUUAAAGCCCUUGAGGCGCCUAAAGAUGAGCUUGCGUCCGAUUAGCUAGUUGGUGAGGUAACGGCCCACCAAGGCUUCGAUCGGUAGCUGGUCUGAGAGGAUGACCAGCCACACUGGAACUGAGACACGGUCCAGACUCCUACGGGAGGCAGCAGUGAGGAAUAUUGGGCAAUGCCCGCAAGGGUGACCCAGCAACGCCGCGUGGAGGAUGAAAGCCGUAAGGUUGUAAACUCCUGUUAGAGGGGAAGAAUAAUCCCGAUAACCUCGGGACUUGACU